GGUUAAGCGACUAAGCGUACACGGUGGAUGCCCUGGCAGUCAGAGGCGAUGAAGGGCGUGCUAAUCUGCGAUAAGCGCCGGUAAGGUGAUAUGAACCGUUAUAACCGGCGAUACCCGAAUGGGGAAACCCAGUGUGAUUCGUCACACUAUCAUUAACUGAAUCCAUAGGUUAAUGAGGCGAACCGGGGGAACUGAAACAUCUAAGUACCCCGAGGAAAAGAAAUCAACCGAGAUUCCCCCAGUAGCGGCGAGCGAACGGGGAGGAGCCCAGAGCCUGAAUCAGCAUGUGUGUUAGUGGAAGCGUCUGGAAAGGUGCGCGAUACAGGGUGACAGCCCCGUACACAAAAGCGCAUGUGCUGUGAGCUCGAUGAGUAGGGCGGGACACGUGGUAUCCUGUCUGAAUAUGGGGGGACCAUCCUCCAAGGCUAAAUACUCCUGACUGACCGAUAGUGAACCAGUACCGUGAGGGAAAGGCGAAAAGAACCCCGGCGAGGGGAGUGAAAAAGAACCUGAAACCGUGUACGUACAAGCAGUGGGAGCACAGGUUUACCUGUGUGACUGCGUACCUUUUGUAUAAUGGGUCAGCGACUUAUAUUCUGUAGCAAGGUUAACCGAAUAGGGGAGCCGGAGGGAAACCGAGUCUUAAUUGGGCGUUAAGUUGCAGGGUAUAGACCCGAAACCCGGUGAUCUAGCCAUGGGCAGGUUGAAGGUUGGGUAACACUAACUGGAGGACCGAACCGACUAAUGUUGAAAAAUUAGCGGAUGACCUGUGGCUGGGGGUGAAAGGCCAAUCAAACCGGGAGAUAGCUGGUUCUCCCCGAAAGCUAUUUAGGUAGCGCCUCGUGAAUUCAUCUCCGGGGGUAGAGCACUGUUUCGGCUAGGGGGCCAUCCCGGCUUACCAACCCGAUGCAAACUGCGAAUACCGGAGAAUGUUAUCACGGGAGACACACGGCGGGUGCUAACGUCCGUCGUGAAGAGGGAAACAACCCAGACCGCCAGCUAAGGUCCCAAAGUCAUGGUUAAGUGGGAAACGAUGUGGGAAGGCCCAGACAGCCAGGAUGUUGGCUUAGAAGCAGCCAUCAUUUAAAGAAAGCGUAAUAGCUCACUGGUCGAGUCGGCCUGCGCGGAAGAUGUAACGGGGCUAAACCAUGCACCGAAGCUGCGGCAGCGAACGUAUCACCCAAGACAACUUUACGGAGUUGACGAUUGACGGAGCGAAGCGACGUCAAAGCGUUCAUUAAAGUCGAGUUGGCUUAGGGAUACGUUCGUUGGGUAGGGGAGCGUUCUGUAAGCCUGUGAAGGUGUGUCGUGAGGCAUGCUGGAGGUAUCAGAAGUGCGAAUGCUGACAUAAGUAACGAUAAAGCGGGUGAAAAGCCCGCUCGCCGGAAGACCAAGGGUUCCUGUCCAACGUUAAUCGGGGCAGGGUGAGUCGACCCCUAAGGCGAGGCCGAAAGGCGUAGUCGAUGGGAAACGGGUUAAUAUUCCCGUACUUGGUGUUACUGCGAAGGGGGGACGGAGAAGGCUAUGUUGGCCGGGCGACGGUUGUCCCGGUUUAAGCGUGUAGGUGUGUGUUCCAGGUAAAUCCGGUUCACUUUAACACUGAGGCGUGACGACGAGGCACUACGGUGCUGAAGCAACAAAUGCCCUGCUUCCAGGAAAAGCCUCUAAGCAUCAGGUAACACGAAAUCGUACCCCAAACCGACACAGGUGGUCAGGUAGAGAAUACCAAGGCGCUUGAGAGAACUCGGGUGAAGGAACUAGGCAAAAUGGUGCCGUAACUUCGGGAGAAGGCACGCUGACACGUAGGUGAAGUGAUUUACUCAUGGAGCUGAAGUCAGUCGAAGAUACCAGCUGGCUGCAACUGUUUAUUAAAAACACAGCACUGUGCAAACACGAAAGUGGACGUAUACGGUGUGACGCCUGCCCGGUGCCGGAAGGUUAAUUGAUGGGGUCAGCGCAAGCGAAGCUCCUGAUCGAAGCCCCGGUAAACGGCGGCCGUAACUAUAACGGUCCUAAGGUAGCGAAAUUCCUUGUCGGGUAAGUUCCGACCUGCACGAAUGGCGUAAUGAUGGCCAGGCUGUCUCCACCCGAGACUCAGUGAAAUUGAACUCGCUGUGAAGAUGCAGUGUACCCGCGGCAAGACGGAAAGACCCCGUGAACCUUUACUAUAGCUUGACACUGAACAUUGAGCCUUGAUGUGUAGGAUAGGUGGGAGGCUUUGAAGUGUGGACGCCAGUCUGCAUGGAGCCGACCUUGAAAUACCACCCUUUAAUGUUUGAUGUUCUAACGUGGACCCGUAAUCCGGGUUGCGGACAGUGUCUGGUGGGUAGUUUGACUGGGGCGGUCUCCUCCUAAAGAGUAACGGAGGAGCACGAAGGUUGGCUAAUCCUGGUCGGACAUCAGGAGGUUAGUGCAAUGGCAUAAGCCAGCUUGACUGCGAGCGUGACGGCGCGAGCAGGUGCGAAAGCAGGUCAUAGUGAUCCGGUGGUUCUGAAUGGAAGGGCCAUCGCUCAACGGAUAAAAGGUACUCCGGGGAUAACAGGCUGAUACCGCCCAAGAGUUCAUAUCGACGGCGGUGUUUGGCACCUCGAUGUCGGCUCAUCACAUCCUGGGGCUGAAGUAGGUCCCAAGGGUAUGGCUGUUCGCCAUUUAAAGUGGUACGCGAGCUGGGUUUAGAACGUCGUGAGACAGUUCGGUCCCUAUCUGCCGUGGGCGCUGGAGAACUGAGGGGGGCUGCUCCUAGUACGAGAGGACCGGAGUGGACGCAUCACUGGUGUUCGGGUUGUCAUGCCAAUGGCACUGCCCGGUAGCUAAAUGCGGAAGAGAUAAGUGCUGAAAGCAUCUAAGCACGAAACUUGCCCCGAGAUGAGUUCUCCCUGAGACUUAGAGUCUCCUGAAGGAACGUUGAAGACGACGACGUUGAUAGGCCGGGUGUGUAAGCGCAGCGAUGCGUUGAGCUAACCGGUACUAAUGAACCGUGAGGCUUAACCUU
rnacentral:rRNA from 2 species